rnacentral:antisense_RNA from 1 species
CUUCACUGACCCCAGCCAAAGCGGCUGGUCCGCCGGCCGGCCCUGGCCGUACGUGGCGAUCAGUGCCUGCGCCUC